UACGUAGGGGGCGAGCGUUGUCCGGAAUUACUGGGCGUAAAGGGAGCGUAGGCGGUUAAUUAAGUUGGAUGUGAAAUCCCCGGGCUUAACUUGGGUGGUGCAUCCAAUACUGGUUGACUAGAGUACAGGAGAGGAAAGCGGAAUGCCUGGUGUAGCGGUGAAAUGCAUAGAUAUCAGGAGGAACAUCGGUGGCGAAGGCGGCUUUCUGGACUGACACUGACGCUGAGGCUCGAAAGCGUGGGGAG
rnacentral:rRNA from 1 species